AAUUGACGGGGCCCGCACAAGCGGUGGAUGAUGUGGAUUAAUUCGAUGCAACGCGAAAACCUUACCUACCCUUGACAUGCCAGGAAUCUUGGUGAGAGCCGAGAGUGCCUUCGGGAGCCUGGACACAGGUGCUGCAUGGCUGUCGUCAGCUCGUGUCGUGAGAUGUUGGGUUAAGUCCCGCAACGAGCGCAACCCUUGUCACUAGUUGCCAGCAUUUAGUUGGGCACUCUAGUGAGACUGCCGGUGACAAACCGGAGGAAGGUGGGGAUGACGUCAAGUCCUCAUGGCCCUUAUGGGUAGGGCUUCACACGUCAUACAAUGGUCGGUACAGAGGGUUGCCAAACCGCGAGGUGGAGCCAAUCCCUAAAAGCCGAUCGUAGUCCGGAUCGUAGUCUGCAACUCGACUACGUGAAGUCGGAAUCGCUAGUAAUCGCGGAUCAGCAUGUCGCGGUGAAUACGUUCCCGGGUCUU
rnacentral:rRNA from 1 species